GGCUGGUCCGAUGGCAGUGGGUUAUCAGAACUUAUUAACAUUAGUGUCACUAAAGUUGGUAUACCACCCCCCCCACUGCUAAAUUUUGUUUGUA
rnacentral:Y_RNA from 1 species